UUACGCUGUUAUCCCUAAGGUAAUUUAAUCUUAUAAUCAAAAUUAAUGGAUCAAAUAACUAUAAAUCAAUAUAACCAAAAUAAAGAGGAGUUAAAUUAUAUUCCUCUCAUCGCCCCAACAAAACACUCAAGCCCACUUAAUCAAGCAAAACAAACAAUAAACAAAAAUAGACCAAAUGUUAAACUCUAUAGGGUCUUCUCGUCCCAUAAAAACAUUUAAGAAUUUUAACUCAAAAACCAAACUCAAUAAAACAUUCACAACCUAAGACAGCUCGUAUCUCGUCAAGCCAUUCAUUCCAGAUCACAAUUAAAGAACUAAUGAUUAUGCUACCUUUGCACGGUCAAAAUACCGCGGCCCUUCAACACUCAGUCAGCGGGCAGGCCAUACUUCAGAAACUAACAAGAAAAGAUGUUUUUGAUAAACAGGCG
rnacentral:rRNA from 1 species